CGAAGCUGCGGCAGCGACGCUUAUGCGUUGUUGGGUAGGGGAGCGUUCUGUAAGCCUGCGAAGGUGUGCUGUGAGGCAUGCUGGAGGUAUCAGAAGUGCGAAUGCUGACAUAAGUAACGAUAAAGCGGGUGAAAAGCCCGCUCGCCGGAAGACCAAGGGUUCCUGUCCAACGUUAAUCGGGGCAGGGUGAGUCGACCCCUAAGGCGAGGCCGAAAGGCGUAGUCGAUGGGAAACAGGUUAAUAUUCCUGUACUUGGUGUUACUGCGAAGGGGGGACGGAGAAGGCUAUGUUGGCCGGGCGACGGUUGUCCCGGUUUAAGCGUGUAGGCUGGUUUUCCAGGCAAAUCCGGAAAAUCAAGGCUGAGGCGUGAUGACGAGGCACUACGGUGCUGAAGCAACAAAUGCCCUGCUUCCAGGAAAAGCCUCUAAGCAUCAGGUAACAUCAAAUCGUACCCCAAACCGACACAGGUGGUCAGGUAGAGAAUACCAAGGCGCUUGAGAGAACUCGGGUGAAGGAACUAGGCAAAAUGGUGCCGUAACUUCGGGAGAAGGCACGCUGAUAUGUAGGUGAAGCGACUUGCUCGUGGAGCUGAAAUCAGUCGAAGAUACCAGCUGGCUGCAACUGUUUAUUAAAAACACAGCACUGUGCAAACACGAAAGUGGACGUAUACGGUGUGACGCCUGCCCGGUGCCGGAAGGUUAAUUGAUGGGGUUAGCCGCAA
rnacentral:rRNA from 1 species